rnacentral:tRNA from 1 species
AAGCAUAAAGUAAAAAUUACAUUUAGUUUCGACCUAAAAUUAGGGUUAAAUAUUAUAACCCUCUGCUUA